UUACACAAUUUUUAAUAAAGUUAAAGUUAUAUAGAUUUGUGUAAAUAUCAUACAUUAUGAAACAACAAAAUUUAUCUUAUUAAAACGUUGGGAGUAAUUCGGUUGGAUAGAAAAAUGAAGGACAUGUGUAUACUCAAGAGAAUAUUGUUGUUGGUUUACUUUGGAUAUACAAUAAACAAUUUGCAUUUGUCAUUAGUGUAGCCGAAACCAAUCAUCUACUCUACCAAUUAAAAUCUUCUUUAAUACGAGUAUAGUGGAGAGAAAAAAUAAAAUAUUGUAGAAGAAUUAAUUGGAAGGGAAGCGGAACGGACCCUGUUGGCACGUGAGAUGUAGAAGUGGAAGGAACCAAAAAGCCGUCAACGUAAAUCCCUCUGCCUA
rnacentral:lncRNA from 1 species